GUUAUUUAGAUGUCAUAUAUAUAAAUUAGGGUCCGGCUAUGGUGCUUUUAAAAGCACCAUGGACUUGGUGCUUGUAAAUUUUUUACCGUUAGAUCUAUGCCUUUUAUCAUUUUUAUCCGUUAGAUUAUACUAUUCAACCAACCACCCACUCAACCCUAGAGGGCCCACAUCAUCCUAACCGCACAUUAUUUAAUCCAAAGGUCGAAAACUUAUAAGUACCAAUAACUUGGUACUUUUAAAAGCAUAGGAGCUCAAUUCAUAUUAAUUAUCCAUUCAAAAUUAUUUUUAUCCCGAUAUGUUAAUAUAUAUUACAGUAAAGUAUUACUAUAAUAAAAUAUAUUUUAGAUGGUGCCUUUUAGAUGAUGAUCUAUUUUGGCAUUUUCAAUAUUUGGCAUGUGCAAACACCAUAAUUAAGCGUCGCCAGUAAUUAUAUUUUUUUCAAAUACUGAUAAAAAUUUUUCGACACCAUAUUGAAACGUUGGUAUAUUUAUCCGACAUGUUUACCUAACGACUUUUACUCAAUUUUACAAGCGUCGAGAUUAUUCUUGUCAACGCUUUAAAACAUCGUUAGUUAUUAUUUAAAUUAUUCUUAAGUACAAAAUAUGUUC
rnacentral:lncRNA from 1 species